UACAUGCAAGUCGAACGCACUCUCGUUAGAUUGAAGAAGCUUGCUUCUGAUUGAUAACAUUUGAGUGAGUGGCGGACGGGUGAGUAACACGUGGGUAACCUGCCCUAAAGUGGGGGAUAACAUUUGGAAACAGAUGCUAAUACCGCAUAAAACCUAGCACCGCAGGGUGCAAGGUUGAAAGAUGGUUUCGGCUAUCACUUUAGGAUGGACCCGCGGUGCAUUAGUUAGUUGGUGAGGUAAAGGCUCACCAAGACCGUGAUGCAUAGCCGACCUGAGAGGGUAAUCGGCCACACUGGGACUGAGACACGGCCCAGACUCCUACGGGAGGCAGCAGUAGGGAAUCUUCCACAAUGGACGAAAGUCUGAUGGAGCAACGCCGCGUGAGUGAAGAAGGUUUUCGGAUCGUAAAACUCUGUUGUUGGAGAAGAACGUAUUUGAUAGUAACUGAUCAGGUAGUGACGGUAUCCAACCAGAAAGCCACGGCUAACUACGUGCCAGCAGCCGCGGUAAUACGUAGGUGGCAAGCGUUGUCCGGAUUUAUUGGGCGUAAAGCGAGCGCAGGCGGUUUCUUAAGUCUGAUGUGAAAGCCUUCGGCUCAACCGAAGAAGUGCAUCGGAAACUGGGAAACUUGAGUGCAGAAGAGGACAGUGGAACUCCAUGUGUAGCGGUGAAAUGCGUAGAUAUAUGGAAGAACACCAGUGGCGAAGGCGGCUGUCUGGUCUGUAACUGACGCUGAGGCUCGAAAGCAUGGGUAGCAAACAGGAUUAGAUACCCUGGUAGUCCAUGCCGUAAACGAUGAGUGCUAGGUGUUGGAGGGUUUCCGCCCUUCAGUGCCGCAGCUAACGCAUUAAGCACUCCGCCUGGAGAGUACGACCGCAAGGUUGAAACUCAGAGGAAUUGACGGGGGCCCGCACAAGCGGUGGAGCAUGUGGUUUAAUUCGAAGCAACGCGAAGAACCUUACCAGGUCUUGACAUCCUUUGACCACUCUAGAGAUAGAGCUUUCCCUUCGGGGACAAAGUGACAGGUGGUGCAUGGUUGUCGUCAGCUCGUGUCGUGAGAUGUUGGGUUAAGUCCCGCAACGAGCGCACCCUUAUUACUAGUUGCCAGCAUUUAGUUGGGCACUCUAGUGAGACUGCCGUGACAACCGGAGGAAGGUGGGGACCACGUCAAUCAUCAUGCCCCUUAUGACUGGGCUA
rnacentral:rRNA from 1 species